UCAGGACUAAAAGCUGGAUUGAUGAUCAUAGAAAUCUCACAAUUGACAAUAUCACUGAAUUUGAAGGCAAUGAUCUUAUUCAGCUGCAACCAGUCACUAACACUUCUCUAUUUAUGGGAAAUUACCCGAAUGAGUACACUCCAAGCAGUGAUAUAGCAUCCAAUAUUCUUCCAAUUAAGUCCAUUACUUUUCUUUCACAGUUAAGAUUUUUGGAAGUGCAGAUACCAUUUUUCUAUAGCUCCCCCAGCAAUUGACCAUUUCAUUCUUCCAAAUCCUAUAAUCAGCGGUGGCCAUGUUUGGGUACCUUAAGACAUUCAAUGAUCAAUCAAUCAAUCAAUAAUAAUAAU